rnacentral:rRNA from 1 species
UUGCAUUCCAAACUGGAUAUCUUGAGUAUAGUAGAGGAAAGCAGAAUUCCUAGUGUAGAGGUGAAAUUCGUAGAUAUUAGGAGGAAUACCAGUGGCGAAGGCGGCUUUCUGGACUAUAACUGACACUGAGGCAUGAAAGCGUGGGUAGCAAACAGGAUUAGAUACCCUGGUAGUCCACGCCGUAAACGAUGGGUACUAGGUGUAGGAGGUAUCGACCCCUUCUGUGCCGUCGUUAACACAAUAAGUACCCCGCCUGGGGAGUACGGUCGCAAGACUAAAACCCAAAGGAAUUGACGGGGGCCCGCACAAGCAGCGGAGCAUGUGGUUUAAUUCGAAGCAACGCGAAGAACCUUACCUAGACUUGACAUCUCCUGAAUUACCCGUAACUGGGGAAGCUCUUCGGAGCAGGAAGACAGGUGGUGCAUGGUUGUCGUCAGCUCGUGUCGUGAGAUGUUGGGUUAAGUCCCGUAACGAGCGCAACCCUUAUUUUUAGUUGCUACCAUUAAGUUGAGCACUCUAAAGAGACUGCCCGGGUUAACCGGGAGGAAGGUGGGGAUGACGUCAAAUCAUCAUGCCCCUUAUGUCUAGGGCAACACACGUGCUACAAUGGUGAGAACAAAGAGACGCAAAAUCGCAAGGUCAAGCAAAUCUCAUAAAACUCAUCCCAGUUCGGAUUGCAGGCUGAAACUCGCCUGCAUGAAGUCGGAGUUGCUAGUAAUCGCGAAUCAGAAUGUCGCGGUGAAUACGUUCCCGGGCCUUGUACACACCGCCCGUCACACCAUGAGAGUUAGCAAUACCCAAAGUCCGUGAGGUAACCGUAAGGAACCAGCGGCCUAAGGUAGGGUUAGCGAUUAGGGUGAAGUCGUAACAAGGUAACCGUA